rnacentral:rRNA from 1 species
AGCAGCCGCGGUAAUUCCAGCUCCAAUAGCGUAUAUUAAAGUUGUUGCAGUUAAAAAGCUCGUAGUUGAAUUUCGGGAUUAAUAUGUUGGUCGUGCCUUGGUACGUACUGGCAUUAUUGAUUCCUACCUUCUGAAGAACCUCGAUGUCAUUAAUUUGGUGUCUUGGGGAAUCAGGACCGUUACUUUGAAAAAUUAGAGUGUUUAAAGCAGGCUCGCGCUUGAAUACAUUAGCAUGGAAUAAUGAAAUAGGACGUUUGAUUCUAUUUUGUUGGUUUCUAGGAUCGACGUAAUGAUUAAUAGGGAUAGUUGGGGGCAUUAGUAUUCAAUUGUCAGAGGUGAAAUUCUUGGAUUUAUUGAAGACUGACUACUGCGAAAGCAUUUGCCAAGGAUGUUUUCAUUAAUACAAGACGAAAGUUAGGGGAUCGAAGACGAUCAGAUACCGUCGUAGUCUUAACC